AGUUGGCAGAGAUGAUUUUCUCCAUAGAUGUUAUGGGAAGUACAUGUUGCUGAAAUAGACCUAAGUGUAAAAUCUGGAAGCAGGGAGCCAAAUUGUACUCAAUAUAUUGAUUUAGAUUUUGUAUUUCUUAAUAUGAAGGUAUUUUGUCAGUAAAAGAAAAAUCAUGCAUUUAUUUUUACUGUCUUCUGGUUGACGACUCAGGUUGUAAAGGAAAAUGUAAAAGCUGUUAGGGUUGCUAGGCAUUGUGUACAUACAGGACAUGGUCUGUGUUGUUUUUGUCAGGACUCCCUAAAUCUCCUGUGUUCAGCUUUAUUCAGUAAAUUAAGAAAUUUGUUAUUAGAGCUCUUUUUCUGCCAUAAUAUUUAGUACUUAGAUCACUUAAUGGCAACACUUUACGUGAGUUGAGCCUUCAUUGCCAUGGCCUUGAGAUAAUCAGAUUGAAUCUUUUUGAUUCUUUUGGUUGCUAUUCUGUCUUUAUGUAUAUUUGAAUUCCAGAAUGCCAGUGUAUAUUCUGAAUAGCGGGCAUUUUAGUAAAAAUAAAAGCCCUUUUAAAAUGGUGCAGUAGAUAAUUAUUAAUUCAGUGUUGAAAAUCAUGGCAAGUGAGAUAUAUAAAUUAUCAUCUGUAACUGGUAAGCAUAAGAAAUACAUAAUUUAAGCUAAUACCAAAGGAAGUGGUAAAAUACAAUUUUUGAUUAAGAAAAAUGCACAUGAAGAUAAGAAUUGAAAUCGCAAAGGCCUUCCAAAUAGUAUAAUACCAGUCUUGUAGCUGAAAUGACUGAACUCACUGCUAUCAGAAGUAUUUUCUGACUUCAAAACUGAAAGCAUAUUUUGAAGUGCCAAGAUGAAAUCCUGUAAUAAUGAAAAAU
rnacentral:lncRNA from 1 species